rnacentral:rRNA from 1 species
AAUCAACGCUGGCGGCGCGCUUAACACAUGCAAGUCGAACGAGAAGGCGUAGCAAUACGCUUGUACAGUGGCGAACGGGUGAGUAAUACGUGGGUGACCUACCCUCGAGUGGGGAAUAACCCGCCGAAAGGCGGGCUAAUGCCGCGUACGCUUCCGUCCUCACGGGGACGGAAGGAAAGCUGUACCGUGGGUACGGCGCUCAAGGAUGGGCUCACGUCCUAUCAGCUUGUUGGUAGGGUAACGGCCACCAAGGCUACGACGGGUAGCUGGUCUGAGAGGACGAUCAGCCACACUGGCACUGCGACACGGGCCAGACUCCUACGGGAGGCAGCAGUGAGGAAUAUUGCGCAAUGGGCGAAAGCCUGACGCAGCGACGCCGC